rnacentral:misc_RNA from 1 species
AAAACAUUUGCAAAAGCGGUCGAAGUUAACUAUAAAAUCUUAUUUCUUUGGCUUUCCGUUAUUAUUUUCGAAACCCUAGCUAUCAGCCCAGCCUGCGGUUUCAGGCCGCCACAUGCUCAUCAUCUCAUCUCUCAAGAAAUUUCUCUCUAGCAGCAAGUGAAACGAGGUGAAGAAGAUGGUGAAGAAGGAGAAGAAAAGGAACGUGUCAGGGAAACCGAAGCACUCUCUGGACAUAAAUCGCGGCAAUGGAACGAACAAUGGCUCGCGAAGCGCUUCCACCGUUCGCCGCCUCAAGAUGUACAAUACCAAACCCCAGCGCAACAGCAAGGGGAAAAUUUUGAAGCAUGAAUUGCAAUCUAAGGAGCUCCCCAACACGCGCAUCCAACCCGAUCGCCGAUGGUUUGGAAAUACAAGAGUAGUAAAUCAAAAGGAGCUUGAAUUUUUCCGUGAAGAGCUACAAAAUCGAAUGUCAAGUAGCUAUAAUGUCAUCUUGAAGGAGAGAAAGCUGCCAUUAUCCCUUUUAAAUGACCACCAGAAGCAAGCUAGAGUACAUCUUCUUGAUAUGGAGCCUUUUGAGGAUGCAUUUGGACCUAAGAGGAAGAGGAAGCGUCCAAAGCUCUUGGCAGCUGAUUAUGAGUCUUUAAUUAAGAGAGCUGAUGGUUCUCAGGACGCUUUUGAGAUGAGCCAUGGUACUAAUGCAUCUGCAGAAGGAAGUGAAGGAGAUGGAUUUAGGGAACUGGUUCGGCAUACAAUGUUUGAAAAGGGCCAAAGUAAGCGUAUAUGGGGUGAACUGUACAAAGUUGUAGACUCAUCAGAUGUUGUUGUUCAGGUUUUAGAUGCCAGGGAUCCCCAAGGUACGAGGUGCUAUCAUUUGGAGAAGCAUUUGAAAGAGCAUUGUAAGCAUAAACACAUGAUUCUUCUGUUGAACAAGUGUGAUCUUGUUCCAGCUUGGGCUACAAAAGGUUGGUUAAGGAUAUUAUCCAAGGAAUAUCCAACUCUUGCAUUCCAUGCAAGCAUCAACAAGUCUUUUGGCAAGGGCUCUCUUCUAUCAGUAUUGAGACAAUUUGCCCGCUUGAAAAAUGACAAGCAAGCAAUAUCUGUGGGAUUUGUUGGGUAUCCUAAUGUUGGAAAGUCAUCAGUUAUCAAUACACUGCGCACUAAGAAUGUUUGCAAGGUUGCUCCUAUCCCAGGGGAGACUAAGGUCUGGCAGUACAUAACAUUAACAAAACGGAUUUUCUUGAUUGAUUGCCCUGGAGUUGUUUACCAGAACAGCGACUCUGAAACUGAUAUUGUAUUAAAGGGUGUGGUACGAGUAACAAACUUGCAAGAUGCUGCUGAACACAUAGGAGAAGUCCUGAACCGUGUCAAGAAGGAGCACCUUGAAAGAGCAUAUAAAAUAAAAGAAUGGUGCGCGACCUCUGCUCUAUGAUUGCUUUAUUGUGUGUGAAUAAAGCGAUUCAAGCCUUUUGAACAUGAAUGGCAAUCCAGAGGAUUAUGGUGUUCCCUGGAUUGUUUACACAGGACCCUUACCGUCAUAAGAUCCUACAGCCAUAAUUACUUGUGCUGAUUUUCUUAACUACAAAGUGCCUAUUGCUUUGAGAUUAUGCAUCUUAUUUGCUUUAAUCCACUUGAUAUCUGAAAAGGCAGAGUUUUCAAAUUUUAAAUAAUUAAAUUGCCUUGAAUCUGCUUGGCGUACUUUCCUGCAUGCUUAAACCUGCUAGGCAUACCUUUACUGCUUGCUUCAUUUAAGUUGUUUUUUUUUUUGGUUGAUGGAAGUUUGUCUUAGUGCUUAACAAAUGAAAGAAAUUCUAGCCCUUAAAGAAAUGGGAAUUUUGAGAUCUUUUUCCUCACGUUUAUGCAUAUUUUAAAGAUGUAACCCUUUCUAGCAUUUGAAAUCAGUUGCGAUUACUUUUCAAUGACAUUAAAUGUUUAAUCUCUGUGAAUAAACAGUAUGUCCUAUUGUUGUUAGGGAUGAUGAAAAUGACUUCCUGGUUCAGCUUUGCAAAUUAACAGGCAAACUUUUGAAGGUACAUAUCAUCUCUUAAUGCUUGAUAUCAAGUACUACAUUUAUGAAGCAUUUUUUUGAAAAAUCAAUAAAGUGCAUGCUAUAAUUGCUUACUAAUCUGGUGCUUUAAUGUCUAUUCCAUUGCUUGGAAGGAGAUUCUAGACCUUGGCUGUGAUUCUAACCGGUACAUUUAGCACAAACUAUAAUAUUGUGUCUCAAAAAUGUGGCUGCAAAAUAAGUUUGCUAAAGUUGGUGAUUUUAAUUUUUUGGGUUCGCAACUUUUUUUUUUUGGGCAAAAUUUUAUGCAAAAAAAGUUAUCCACCAUCCCAACUAAAUUGCACCUAUCAUCAAAAUAACUGGUACAGUGUCUCUUAAAUCUCUUUUUUUCAUUCUUAGCUUUGGAAAGAUAAAAGGGUGUCGAAUAUGUUGUGUUCAGGGUGGUGAACCUGACUUGAUGACUGCAGCAAAGAUGGUCCUUCAUGACUGGCAGAGAGGUAGAAUAGCUUUCUUUGUCCCCCCACCAUGGCUAGAAGAUGACUCCCGAGAGGAGCCUAAUGCAGAUAGUUUAAAUGAGGAGGCUGCAGAGGAUGAUAAUCAAGCAUCUGCGGCUUUUAGAGCCAUUGCGAAUGUCAUUUCAUCCCAGCAACAAAAAAGUGUCCCUGUCCAAAGGGAUCUUUUUAGUGAGAAUGAGUUAAGAGGUGAUGGGGCUGACCAGUGUCUGGCUGCUGAGUGUGAGAAGCCUGAGCAGCCAUCAGGGACGGAGGAUGAAAUGGAUGACGAGCUUGCAACUAAAGGAAAAGUUGAAGCAACUGAAUAAGGUGGGUUAGCAUUUUCUUUUGUGGUUUCUCUAUCUAGAGAGAUUAAUUUUGAGGUCUUUGGUAGGUUACAUAGUUUUUGCUUUACGAGAAAAUUUGUAUGGUGCAUUUUAAGUUCAAUAAUAUGAUGUUCCCUUGGACUAAUUCUUUUAGCAUAGCCUGUCUGUGCUCGUGCUUAUGUGAGGGGAAGAAUUGAGAUAAAGAGAGAUUUUGCAAGAUUGCUAUUAUACCAUAUUAUCGUUUGAUUGUUUCAUAUGUUAAACAUGCUCAGAUGAAAAAUGUUUCUUGAUUGCUCAAUAUUGAAGUCCAAAAGGAUAAUUGAGCGCAGAUAAUAAUUGAACAGGUCACUCUGUAUUUCAUUAUCUUUAAAUUGC